rnacentral:rRNA from 1 species
AUGAACGCUGGCGGCGUGCCUAAUACAUGCAAGUCGAGCGAACGGACGAGAAGCUUGCUUCUCUGAUGUUAGCGGCGGACGGGUGAGUAACACGUGGAUAACCUACCUAUAAGACUGGGAUAACUUCGGGAAACCGUAGCUAAUACCGGAUAAUAUUUUGAACCGCAUGGUUCAAAAGUGAAAGACGGUCUUGCUGUCACUUAUAGAUGGAUCCGCGCUGCAUUAGCUAGUUGGUAAGGUAACGGCUUACCAAGGCAACGAUGCAUAGCCGACCUGAGAGGGUGAUCGGCCACACUGGAACUGAGACACGGUCCGGACUCCUACGGGAGGCAGCAGUAGGGAAUCUUCCGCAAUGGGCGAAAGCCUGACGGAGCAACGCCGCGUGAGUGAUGAAGGUCUUCGGAUCGUAAAACUCUGUUAUUAGGGAAGAACAUAUGUGUAAGUAACUGUGCACAUCUUGACGGUACCUAAUCAGAAAGCCACGGCUAACUACGUG